rnacentral:lncRNA from 1 species
AUCUCACAAUUUCAUUUUAUUUCUCUUUUAUAUAUUUAUCGUAUUUGCAUUAUCUAUUUUAUAUUAUCGCAUUUAGAAUAUUAUAUAAACCACUACUAUACAUUAGUAUUUCUAUUUUUAUCUAUAUAUGUUUUAUAUUUAUUUUAUUUGCAUUUUAAUUUUUCAGUUAUUUAUUUAUUUAUAUUUAAUUUCUCUUUUUGUUUUUGUUUCAGUUUCACUUUUUAUUUUUCGUUUUUUUUCACUUUUAUAAAAAUUAUGCAAGUCGAAGAAACUAGGAGAAUCACAAGACAAAUGCUAUCCAGACCCCUCAAAGCCAAAAGACAAGAGAAGCCCAAACCAAAGGACCAAAAUCUGGCCC